GAUGAACGCUGGCGGCGUGCCUAAUACAUGCAAGUCGAGCGAACAGACGAGGAGCUUGCUCCUCUGACGUUAGCGGCGGACGGGUGAGUAACACGUGGAUAACCUACCUAUAAGACUGGGAUAACUUCGGGAAACCGGAGCUAAUACCGGAUAAUAUAUUGAACCGCAUGGUUCAAUAGUGAAAGACGGUUUUGCUGUCACUUAUAGAUGGAUCCGCGCCGCAUUAGCUAGUUGGUAAGGUAACGGCUUACCAAGGCAACGAUGCGUAGCCGACCUGAGAGGGGGAGCGGCCACAGUGGAGCUGCGACCCGGCCCAGACACCGACGGGAGGACGAAGGAGGGGAUUUUCAGAAAGGGGCAAAGACCUAACGGAGCAACCCCGGGGGAAAGAAGAAGGUUUUCGGAUCGAAAAACUUUGUUAUUAGGGAAAAAAAAAUGGGUAAGUAACUCUGCACGUCUGAACGGUACCUAAUCAAAAAGCCACGGCUAACUACGU
rnacentral:rRNA from 1 species